GGCAGGGGAUAUAUCAGUGAAAGGGGGGUCCAUGAAAAUUACAUAUCUUUAGGGUAGGUGUUACCUAUGGUCUUUAAAAAUCAAUUAGGUAUUUAUAAGAUGUAUUUCUUGUGUUAGGUUGUAGAAAGAAUGUCUCAAAAUUUUGGAAAAAAACAUUACAACUAGCCACAGCUCCCUAGCAAGGAAAUUUUGAAUCUUCAAAAAGGAGGUUUUCACUUUUGUCGGAAGUCAAUAUUUCACGCUGCAGAAACAGAACAAAAUUUUGAAGACUGUGGUACUGUUUGAUGUGGUCGCAGUUUAAUAGGGAGAACGAGUGGACCCCGAGAACGAUUACACGCAUUCAAGACAUCGUUAGCCACAGAAUCACCCAAUCGCACAACACUUUCCAGGUCAGGGUCUGAAUUCAACGGAAUAGAAUCUUGAACUUGUUUCUCUACACAGGGCACAUGCCUGCAGAAACUUUAUAGUUUGGAAAUACUCCUUUUUUGAAAAGUACACCUUUGUUUUUCCUAGCGUGAUUGUUUUUAUAACUGUGCUGUGAUUUCUUAUGGAGUGAUCUAAUUUUGAAUGGUAUUUUAAUGAAUGAAUAUCAAUAUUUGGUGCAUGUAUUAUGUAAUCAUAUGGGAAUAUACAUCUGUAAGACUGAUUGAUAGUGUCAAUAAUCAUUUUAAACAUUUGACAUAUAACUUGUGUGCUUCUCUACUAAAUAGAGUCAAAUGUUGUGAAUAGGAACACUAUUUUUUUUAUUAUUUCUGUUCUGGUUGUUUCCCUUGAAUUGUGUGAAUUUUUGGAAUUACUAUGAAAUACAAACAAAACACAGGAUACAGUUCAGAAAUGUUGCAUUUAAUUCAUUAAACAUUAUAUUUUAA